UACGGAGGGGGCUAGCGUUGUUCGGAAUUACUGGGCGUAAAGCGCACGUAGGCGCUUGAUUAUAUGUAGAGGUGAAAGCCCAGGGCUUAACCCUGGAAUUGCCUUUAAGACUGCAUCGCUAGAAUCGUGGAGAGGUGAGUGGAAUUCCGAGUGUAGAGGUGAAAUUCGUAGAUAUUCGGAAGAACACCAGUGGCGAAGGAGACUCACUGGACACGUAUUGACGCUGAGGUGCGAAAGCGUGGGGAGCAAACAGGG
rnacentral:rRNA from 1 species